UGAACCCUAGCUUGCCACCACCGCUCCACCUCCUUUGUUCCGCUGCUUGCCGAUCGUCGAUUCCUUAUUCGUGCCGCAUCUUGCCGCCGUCGAAGCCCACCGUCAUAUUUUCCACUACCACUGGCACUCCCCCACGAACGGCUGACACCACAAAGGUUAGCUAAUUAUUUGAAUUUUAGUUGUAUUCAUUAUCAUUCUCUUAUCACUAAUUUUAGUUCAGAGAUUUGAUGGAAGCGCUCGACCUAAAGAUAUCAACCUUUAUCAAUAGGAGAGAUUGAAGAAGAAGUGCACUACCUUACAUUUAUGAAAGUAUAGUAAAAAGAUAUGUGGUUCGUGUUAGCAUAACUAGAUUGAUGUCUAAGCUCAUAUUUUGGAUCUGUGAAGAACUAUUAGAAGAUAAUCUUUUGAAGGUGAAGGAUCAUUGCUGGAUAGAACUAUUAGAAAAUAGUUUAAAGGAGAUAUAAUAAGAGAAGGACCAAGUUUUUGAUAAGGAAAUAUCUAGCCAAAUGUGGAUGCUUUUUUUAGAUUAUCAGUCAAGUUGGACAAAAGGGUGGGAGGGCUGAACAUUGGAGAAGACAACGACAAUGGAAACAUUGAAUGCGAGUACUAUGUGAUGGAACUAUUGAAUGUGGGUGUAGUAAAUUUAAGUCGAAUGAAGUGCGAAUGGAGCUAGCUGAUUUUUUGGGUGACCAUAUAUGAUUAUGGUGAUUAGCUAAGUGUUUUUGGGUUAGAUAGAUAUAUAUUUAUUUAUUGGUUUUAGGUGAAUCAAUGAUAUUUUUUGAGUUAGCUUAAACAUGUAAUUUUUUUUUGAUAUUAGAUAUAGGUGAAUCUCAAUAUUGAUAUGGUACACCUUUGGGCUUUACAUAUAUUUUGUUUAUAUUAGACAUAGAUGGAAAGUUUGUGCUAUGGUAAUUAAGUAUGUAAUGACCAACUAUAUAUAUGUUUCAUUGAUAUAUGCAAUUUGUUAAAUUAUAAUUA